rnacentral:tRNA from 1 species
GGCAGAAUGGCCGAGUGGUCUAUGGCGACGGUCUCAAGCGCAGUUAUCAAGCACUUCACCAGCAUUAGCGGGUGUUCCGUUCACGAAAGUGGCCGGGGUUCGAAUCCCCGUUCUGUCA